rnacentral:rRNA from 1 species
UACGUAAGGCGCAAGCGUUGUCCGGAAUUAUUGGGCGUAAAGAGCUCGUAGGCGGUUUGUCGCGUCUGCUGUGAAAACUCGAGGCUCAACCUCGGGCUUGCAGUGGGUACGGGCAGACUAGAGUGCGGUAGGGGAGACUGGAAUUCCUGGUGUAGCGGUGGAAUGCGCAGAUAUCAAGAGGAACACCUGCGGCGAAGGCGGGUUGCUGGGCCGACACUGACGCUGAAGCGCGAAAGCUAGGGGAGCGAACGGG